GGGGAAUUUCAGGGCUGGAGUUCGUGGAAACAAUCCCUGAGUGGUUCUGCCUUGGGUUCCUGAGGUAAAGCUGGAAGCUAAAGACACCUGCACUGGGAUGGAUUGGACGUAGUCAGACAAGGAACAAUCCUUGCUUUAAAGGCGUUUUCCAUCUGACAAGAGGGGGCAGCUUUGCUGAGACAGACACCUGUGUCUGCUGGCCGCGGAGUAUAGGAGGCCUUUGGAGGGAAGGAAUGAGGACAAUGAGACUGAAAAGUCAUCGUCUAAUCCUUCCAGAAAGCCCUCCUGAGAUGGUACUUUAAGGUGAUGGCUUCAGCCAGUUUGGACAUUUACCUCCUUUUCCUGGAUCUCUCCUGUGUGUACUGAAACAUCCCUUACACCUUACAUUCCGUCUCCCAGGAUGGACACCUGUGUUGCCUUCAGCUGGCCUCCAGCCCCAGCAGUCCUGCGGUGACACGUCCCCUUGUGAGCCUGCGUGAGAACCCCCUGGGGAGGGGCGUUCUAAGCAUCCGUGGCUGACUCAGAUCUCCUGCAUGGCCAGGGCUGAGGGCCACUGGCAUCCCUCAACAGCUGUUAUGAUUGUUGAAGGCUUUCUUCAUACUUCUCACCUAUGGGACUGGCUCCUCCCCAGCUGAAAUCUAAGAUACUUUGGCUACUUCUUUUUUACCCCAUAAAAAUCUUCCUUUAGGAACUCUGAAUACUAAAGUAACAAUGAUGGAUCAUAUCUUAAAUGUGACCCUAUUUCCUAUCACUGCCGUAACAAAGUACCACAAUCGCAGUGGUUUAAAACAACACAGGUUUGGGGCGCCUGGGUGGCUUAGUCGG